AUUUUCCACAGUUUAUUGUGAUCCACACAGUCAAAGGCUUUGGCAUAGUCAAUAAAGCAGAAAUAGAUGUUUUUCUGGAACUCUCUUGCUUUUUCCAUGAUCCAGCGGAUGUUGGCAAUUUGAUCUCUGGUUCCUCUGCCUUUUCUAAAACCAGAAAAAACAUCUAAAACUUCACUACACACACAUGUAGAAACCUCCAGUUUCUCUCCCCUGUCACUUUCCUUAAUACCAGAAACACAGGAGAAGAAACCACACACAAGAUAUUGAUCUUUGUACAAGGUCACCUUCAGGAUCCAUUACUGACAGAGCAGUGAUUAGGCUAAUAAUAGACAUUUGGGACUCUACAGUUCUGAGAAUUUCUCUCUUCAUUCAUGGGUCUCACGAAUUCCGCU
rnacentral:sRNA from 1 species